UUUCACUUUAUGAGACUUGAGAUAAGGUACAGUUCCCUUGAUGUUUGAGAACCAUACAAGAUGCUGAGAGUUGGGGGCCUCUUCUCUUACAGCUUCUGGCUAGUAGAACUCUAGUGUUGAAGAACGUGUCACAACAGCACACUCUGCCAUUGACAGCAGCCCCAGGAAGUUGCUGAUCUGUAGCAUAUUCACACUCUGAUGAAAUCCUAAUGCUCCCUGCUCCUCAGAAAAGACCAACUUAUAAGAAUCUCCAGUUCUGAUGUUUAUUUUCCUUUCUCAGUCACCAGGAUGAGAGAGGUAGACAUAAAAGAGGAAAGAGAAAUGGACACAGAAAAGAAAGUAGCCACACAAAGAAUUGGGGUCCCACUGACAAAAUAAGAAUGAGCCCUUCCUCAAGAAAAUGCUGGAAGUCCUUGACUUACAUCAGGGGAUUGAGGAAGAACUUCGACGGGGACCUCUUAGUGGACCUCACCUUGGGCUUGCGCUUGCUCUCGUCCAUGAUCAUCUUCCAGUCGGAGCCAUUGUUGCUGUACCCUAUCUUGAACUUCCUCAUGAACACCUUGUUCUCUCGGUGCUUCCCACCCUGAAUGAUGAUGCCCCUCACAAUCUUCUCCUCCCCCAGGUCCACCUGGAGCCACUCAUUGACGUAGGGGUGGGGUGCAGGCGGCAGUGCCCAGCCGGAGCGACUGGUGACCAGACGGAUGUUUUCGGGCAUCCAGUUUCUCUCCCCUUGGUUGGAUGCUGCAAUCUGGGAGUCUGAGAUGAGUCCAGACACCAUGCCCAGCAUUCCAGAGCAAGGAUAAUCUAGGAGGUGGAACGAAACAGAUAAUGUAAAAUUAUUUUAUGGGAAAAUAGUUUCUAGAAAGAAAAUGCAACCAUUUGAAUAAAGACAGUGUCUUCUACCCA